UGUGAAUGAAGGGUCAGCUUCUCGAAAACGUGUUUGAAACUCCAAACUUUCAUUACUGACGCUGGUACCAACAAAGAAAUGAACCUGCCAGAGCUUGGCUAAACGUUCCCAUUGGACCCAUUGCGAUGAUUGCUUGCCCCUAAAUCAAUCCAAAUGCAUCUGGUUUUCAUUUCCAGUCCAUAUCUUCUGGCGCAACAUGACUGCAUUUACCCAUUUGCACGGGAAUAAUAAAUAGGAUUAAAGUGAUCGGACUUAGCAUCAAAUUUUUCGACGGCUGAAGACUCACUGACUUUUAAAUUUGACAUGAUUGUGUCAAAUAUAGCAGUACUGAAUAUUUUUUUGUUUUGAACAAAAAUUAGAACUGUGGCGCUCAUGUUGCUCAUGUUGCUCAUGUUGCUCAUGUUGCCCGUUGAGCGGCUUAUGUCAGUAAGGUGCCCUGAGUAAGUUUUUCCCUCAAUUUGUUCGCUUAGUGGCCUCUCGUAUUCCUCAAUCGGGCCAAAACUCCCUUCAAAGAUUUCUUGCCGCUGCGUCCUCCAUUUGAGUUAAGGAACGGACUUCGACUAUUUCCCUGACGUGGACAUUAGGAUCCCGCAGCCCACGUUCGACGCUGCCUCCAAGGAUUGGGCCUUCCUCAAUUCGACCUACGACAAUGAACAAUCAUUUUUGCAACGUGAUUGUCGUCUUGGGUGAAGACGGGGACUUUGUGUCCUUGGGCCAGAUGAGCUUGGACACCAGAAUGAAGGAAGUCACUGACAUGGUCCUCACUAAGAAGAACUUGGACGGACUUGGACAACAUGUAUUCCUUGGCUACAUGCGACCCUACAAAGAGAUUGUCCUCCUUCCAGCAGAGGCCAAGUUGUCUGACGCGAAGUCAGCCAUUAUCAGGGACACGUCUACGUAUGUCGUUGAUGAUAUUCUUCUUCAGGGCAACCUUUCGGAAUCACCACCCGCAGGCUAGGUGCUUCCAAACGAUUGGGCUGAAGGUGGUCCACACUCAGGCCCGUUCACAAAAAGAAAGGGAGCUUGGUUCAAGUAGGCAGGCUUGACCAAGAAUUAAACUACUAAAGAAUACUUCUCUCCUUGAAAAAAGUUGUAGACUUGAUGAGCAAAUUCCAUUCAUUACUUUUGCGUUUCAUUCAAAAACAAGUUACAAGCCCA